rnacentral:rRNA from 1 species
AAAUAGCGGAGGAAAGGAAACCAACUGGGAUUACCUUAGUAACGGCGAGUGAAGCGGUAAAAGCUCAAAUUUGAAAUCUGGUACUUUCAGUGCCCGAGUUGUAAUUUGUAGAAUUUGUCUUUGAUUAGGUCCUUGUCUAUGUUCCUUGGAACAGGACGUCAUAGAGGGUGAGAAUCCCGUUUGGCGAGGAUACCUUUUCUCUGUAAGACUUUUUCGAAGAGUCGAGUUGUUUGGGAAUGCAGCUCAAAGUGGGUGGUAAAUUCCAUCUAAAGCUAAAUAUUGGCGAGAGACCGAUAGCGAACAAGUACAGUGAUGGAAAGAUGAAAAGAACUUUGAAAAGAGAGUGAAAAAGUACGUGAAAUUGUUGAAAGGGAAGGGCAUUUGAUCAGACAUGGUGUUUUUUGCAUGCACUCGCCUCUCGUGGGCUUGGGCCUCUCAAAAAUUUCACUGGGCCAACAUCAAUUCUGGCAGUAGGAUAAAUCAUUAAGAAUGUAGCUACCUCGGUAGUGUUAUAGCUUAUUGGAAUACUGCUAGCUGGGAUUGAGGACUGCGCUUCGGCAAGGAUGUUGGCAUAAUGGUUAAAUGCCGCCCGUCUUGAACCACGGACCC